UAUUGACUUAAUUGGGUCUAAAAACUACUCUAAACGCCUCUUGUCAACGUUCGAACUAGUCCCUAACCUUUGACUCAAAUAUAAAUAUUGGCUACAAAUAGACUUAUAGUUCUGCCUACAUUGGUCGUCUGCUUUAGUAUAUUUGUUACCAAGUAAAAUGCUGCUGUAGAGUUUAAUGAUCUCUUUGUCUACUGGGUUUCUCCAAUUUUCUGAUCGUUGGGAUUCGUGCAAGUCGAGAGAGUCUACUUGGUUGAAACUUUCUGGGUUUUGAUUUGAGUUGCCCAUUGGAUUUGAAGUUUUAGUCUUUUGUUGGUAAGUUUUACCCUUUGAGAUAUGCUCGUCUGAUAGUAUAGGGCUUUCGAGUGUUAUGAAAAAUUCGCCUUUUCGUCUUCUGAUUUGGUUUUCAUUUCCUUCAGCUAAAUCUUCGUAAUACUUGGAUCCUGAAUGAUUAAUCAUAGCUAGAAUCCGUUUGGCUUUGUUAUUUGGGUCAGAGAUUCUGAGAGGACGCUUUAAAGAGUCAAGCUUUUCAUUCCUCUGAAUCCGUCCUUGUAUUGGACGUCUUGAUCUCUGUAUGCUCUCCUGGAGCUAUCGAAUCGAGUUUCUCAUUGACUGAU